rnacentral:tRNA from 2 species
UUUUCAACUACAAAAACUA